rnacentral:rRNA from 1 species
GAUGAACGCUAGCUACAGGCUUAACACAUGCAAGUCGCGGGGCAGCAUGGGGGUUGCUUGCAAUCCCCGAUGGCGACCGGCGCACGGGUGAGUAACGCGUAUCCAACCUGCCCUUCACCACGGGAUAACCCGGCGAAAGUCGGACUAAUACCGUAUGUUGUCCAUUGACGGCAUCCGAUUUGGACGAAAGGCUUGGCGGUGAGGGAUGGGGAUGCGUCCGAUUAGCCAGACGGCGGGGUAACGGCCCACCGUGGCUACGAUCGGUAGGGGUUCUGAGAGGAAGGUCCCCCACACUGGAACUGCGACACGGUCCAGACUCCUACGGGAGGCAGCAGUGAGGAAUAUUGGUCAAUGGGCGUAAGCCUGAACCAGCCAAGUAGCGUGCAGGAUGACGGCCCUAUGGGUUGUAAACUGCUUUUAUGCGGGGAUAAAGUGGCCCACGUGUGGGCUUUUGCAGGUACCGCAUGAAUAAGGACCGGCUAAUUCCGUG